rnacentral:rRNA from 1 species
UGGGGAAUAUUGCACGAUGGACGGAAGUCUGAUGCAGCAACGCCGCGUGCGGGAUGACGGCCUUCGGGUUGUAAACCGCUUUUUCUCAUGACGAAGUUUUUUGACGGUAGUGGGGGAAGAAGCACCGGCUAACUACGUGCCAGCAGCCGCGGUGAUACGUAGGGUGCGAGCGUUGUCCGGAAUUAUUGGGCCUAAAGAGCUUGUAGGCGGUUUGUCGCGUCGAUAGUGCAAACUCAGUGCUUAACGCUGAGCCUGCUGUUGAUACGGGCAGACUAGAGGAAGGUAGGGGAGAAUGGAAUUCCCGGUGGAGCGGUGGAAUGCGCAGAUAUCGGGAGGAACACCGGUGGCGAAGGCGGUUCUCUGGGCCUUUCCUGACGCUGAGAAGCGAAAGCGUGGGGAGCGAACAGG